CUAAGAACCAAUGAGGAUAAAAUCCAUUGGUAUGCCCUCUCAAUACUAAGUCGGGGAGUGGAGUCCAAUCUUGAAUUUGAGCUCAAGAAUGCAUGUAAAGGAAGUGGCUUUGUGAGAUUAUCAGCUAAUUGAUGGACUCACAACAGACGAGCAACACGUAGAGUAUCACUUUGAAUUUGAUCCUGAAUGGAAUGAAAAUCAAUUGUAACAUGCCUCAUUCUUGAACGGAACGUCAAGUUGAAACAUAGUUGAUUGAUGCUAAUUAUCACAAUAAAUCAUGGGGCAUAAGGAUACCUUAACGCUAAGGUCCAAUAAGAGAUAUGAACCCAAUUGCGUUUAGCAGUGGUAUUGGCAACAGAAUGAUAUUCAACCUCAAUUGAGGAUCAAUGACAUUUCUUUACUUUCUAAAACCCGACAAUACUGGAUCUCGACCAAGAUAAACAACAUAGGUAUAUAUAGAGGAAAAAUCAUCUUUAUCGCCAGCAUAAAUGGAUCAUAGCCUCAAACUAUCAUGAAAAGUGUCACAUAAGUAUAGUAAGACCCGUUUAACACGUCUAAUGGUCUGUAGUUAGGUGAUGCAUGUAUUAUGAGAAAUCAAAAGCAAUGUCUGGUCGUGUGAUUAAGAGAUAUUGAAGACUGCCAAUUAUAGUAUGAUAACCAUUAGGAUCUGACAAGGAAGAGCUUGAGGUCAGUGUAAGAGGUGGACUAGUUGGCAAAUGAGUGAAAAUUGGCUUCUAGUCUUAUAUGUUGGUUUGGGCAAGAAUGUCACAUAUGUUGUAUAGUUGAUAGAGCAGCAAGACAUUUUUAUUAGGAACAACUUCGACACCUAAAAAGUAAUUUAGUAAGCUCAGAUCUUUAAGAAAGGACAACCACAAUUUUAUUAACCAUGGAUAUACUAUUGUCUGCAAUGAUCAAAUCAUCAACAUAGACGAAGAGAUAUAUAAUGUGAUCAAAAUCAGUAAGUAAAGAGAGAAGAAUCAACAUGUAAAUUCUUAAAGCUAGAAUGAAGUAGAAAGGUACGAAGUCAUAUACCAUCCUCGAAGGGCUUGUUUAAGGUCAUAAAUGGUUUGCAAAGUUUGUACACAUAAGAUGGAUUAUUUGAAUCAAUAAAACCUUGUGAAUGAGCUAUGUAGAGAUGUUCAAAGAAUUGAACUUGUAUGAAUACAUUGUUCACAUCAAGUGGCAUAAUGACUAAUUACGACUUACUGCUAUACUAAGAAUAAUAUGGACGACAGUCAACUUAACAACAUGGUUGAAUAUGUGUCAUGGUAAUCAAUGCCAGGAUGUUGACAAAAGCCCUUAGCUAUCAAGCUUUAAACUUAUUAAUAAAGACAUCAAAUUUACAUUUAGUUCAAAAAAUCCACUUAUAACCAACACCAUAUACAACCAAAUUUUUUUUUUUUUUAAUUCGAGUUAGUGGAACUAGCGCCCAUAUUCCAUUUCUGUCGAUGUCAUUUGGCAUCUUCUAGAGCUUGAGUCACAACGGUGGGUUCAAGAUCACAAAUUAGGGUAAAUUGGACAUGGAGAUUCAUUUUUGUCAGGGGCUGGUACAUGUUGUUUUGGCCCUAGUGGUCAUAUUGUGAAUAGGCAAUGAAGGUUCAAAUGGUGGAGGUGGCAACAUGGAGUUUUUGGGAGAUGAGUGCAUGAACGGUAAAGGUGAAGGUAAAGGUAAAGCUAUGGGGAAGAAGAUGGUAUGGGGAGAAUGCUGGCAGGUUCUAGCUUUAGAUAGUGUAUGGAGUGGUGGUAUCAUAUACGGUAAGGUGACUCGAUUGGUCAAGGAAUCAAGUGAUGAUGGUUUGUGAUUGAGGAUAAGGGGCUUGAUGAGAUAGAUGAUUGAAAGAGAACACAGACUCGACAAACUUUACACGGUGAGAGACAGAUUUUAGAAGUUGAAGGAUCUAAAUAUUAGUAUACACUUUGAAUUAGAGUAACCAAGGAAGACAUAAGGUUUAAAGUGAGAGUCAAGCUUGUGAGUUUAUAUGAUUGUAGCUAGAGAUAACAAAGACAACAAAAAAUUUGUGGUUUCACGUAAUUAGGAACACUUUUAAAUGUUCUUUCAUAUGAUGAUGAGUAGUGUAAUAUUGAUGUUGGCAUACAAUUGACUAAGUAAACAGUAGUAGCAAAAGCAAGAGAUCAACAAGCUAGAUGGGAUGACAUAAGAUAAUACUGCUAUAAUUUCAACAAUGUAAAGGUGUUAUCUUUCAGCGAGAACAUCAUGUUUGGGGUUAGGGAGAUAUCUGGUUAGAUAGAUGAUUCUUACGAGUGGUGGUGGAUCGAUAGUGGGUAAGGGAUGGUAGUUGUGGUUUUUAUUAGGUGAAGAACACUAAGAAAUGUUAUUAUGGCUAGAGAAAGAUGAUGGGAGCCAAUGUUGUGUGGUUGGACUUGUACAAUUAUGAGUGGCUCGAAUGUAAAUAUGGUUAGAUUGGAUUGGUAGCAUUGAGGACUCAAAGUUGACUAAUAUUUCGUGAAUUUCUUUGAAGGUGAUGAGGAAUAUCUCUAGCUUGGAUUGUACGAGCUAGUUUCUUGUAGUCAUUACCGAGGCCAGCUAUCUAUGAGGUCCUCGAUGACAAUUGGCGCUCCAAGAAGAGCAAACUCAUCAACCAGUGCUUUAACGUUUUGUAGGAACUUAGUCACACUUCUUGAACCUUUGGUGAUUUGUUUAAGUUGGCUUUUAACUUUCUUGACGUGGCCUCGAGAGGGAAUGGCAUAUAUAGUGUAUAAAAUGGUAGCUCGACUAAAUGUUUUGUCUUGAGCAAUGAAAGGUAUCAUGGUGGGUGAGAUCAAGCCGAUGAUCACAUUGAGUAUUAGCUAAUCCUGACAAGUCCAUAUAAUGUGGGCAAGAUUGGGGAUUGUGAUCCCAUUUUGAGUAAGCAUGGGUGGGGUUGAUGCUUUUGAUCCAUCAACAUAACCAAAUAGAUAAUAGCUAAUAAAUAGAGUCUAAAAUUGUAAAUUCCAAGAGAUGUAGUUUUUGGAUGUAUUUAAGAGGAGUUUGUGCUGCCAUGUUGAUGCUAAUUAUAAAGGAAUUGUGGGGUUUCAUUAGUGUUGUGAAUUAUGGCAGGUGGAACUUUAGUGAAAGCAGUGGAAGUAAAGCUAGUCACUAGGAUGCUUGAAAAAUGAAAGGGAGUGAAUCAAUUGAACAAGAAGUUGGAAGGAGAUAGAAUUAGGUGAGAUAAUUUUGAUUGGCAAAGAAUCAGGGGGGGGGGGGGGGGUAAGAGGACCGACUAUCAUUUUGGAUAUAGCUAUCAUAUCAUAACAAAUGAUAAACUAAAUUAUUUUUUAUACUUUUUC
rnacentral:lncRNA from 1 species